CCCGCCAGGCGUGAUUUCCCUCCAGUCUUUGAACUCCCAAGCGUUCACUUCGGAACCCUCUGAUUCACUCUUCUCUGCGUUCCAGCUCCCAAUCGCUGUCUCUCCCAGCAUAACCACCCACAGUCGGGCCCCUCCACACCCACCCCGUCCAAACCGCCCCUCAUCCUCUUUUCCCCCUGCCCUUUUCCUAACGUACCAAGCCCCCACCUCUCCUCUCCACACUUAGCUCCUCUCCAUCCGUGUUCCACAACCCCUCGCUCUGCCAGAGACACUCCACUGUGGGGAUCCCACUCUGGACCCGCCCCCACCUCUCCUUCCUUGUCCACCCCUUUUCCAUUCCACCCUGACCCCGUGGCCUCUCUUAACUCCCUGUGCAGGUUCCUGCGGAUGAAUAAUUAAGCCUCUGACAAGUAAAUAUGCUGUAGCUCCAUCACACCCACGGAGAAACGACGAGAGAGACGUGCGCAGGGACCACGGACAGGUGGAAGGCGGUACAGCGGGCAAUCUGGUCCACAGGGCAUCUACCGUAUGUGUGUAUUCUACUUCACAAUGAUAAAAAGAAGUUGAUAAAGCAAUUAUCGUUGAGGAGCUCUGAGCUGACUGGAGAAAGUCUACGAAGUCUGUACCAUCAUCAUCUGGCCGAUCAGCCUGCUUUCUUAUAGAACCCAGCACCACCAGCCCAGGGAUAGCACCGCUCGCAAUGGGCUCUUCCAAGUCAAUCACUAAUUAAGAAAAUGCCUUACCAUGGGCCUAGGAGAGCUGGCCCUGCCCUUGCCUGAGGUGAGCAGUCCCAGUGGUCCAGACCAACCAGUUCAGAUACCACUUAGACCUACAUUCCGGGCCCAUCUUAGCAUCUACCCCAUCUAUGACCUGCUGGAGCUCGUGAAGGGACUGGUCCUGAGGAACAAUAACCACAGGAUCUCCACGACUUGGGCCAACAGCAGGAUAUCUGAGAAGAGUUUCCGUGGGGGGGGGGGGGGGUCAGUGAUGAUGGUUUGCCAGAAGCCUUGAACCAGACCAAUGACUGACCAAAUGAACAUUUUGAGUGUGUGGCUGAUUGGAUGAAAGUGUAUACUGAGGAUCCCGAUGUUACUGGGCUGAAUUAAGAGGUGUAGGAAAGACAGAUGAGGGAGGUUUUGUUUUUGUUUUUGUUUUUUCCAAGACAGGGUUUCUUUGUAACUUUGAAGCCUGGCCUGGAACUCUCUCUGUAGACCAGGGUGGGCCUGAACUCAGAAAUACACCUGCUUCUGCCUCCCAAGUGCUGGGAUUAAAGGCGUGUGCCACCACUGCCCUGCUAUACAAUAUGUUUUGGUGUUAUUGUCCCCUACUUCUUCCCCUAACCUCUCCCAGAUGCACCUAUACUUCCUUACCUCCCCCAAAUUUGUGUCUAAAAAGAAAACAAAAAACCUCAUUUAGUCUGCCUCGGGUUGCCAUGCACCCUUGGGUGUGUGGCCUUCUGCUAGAUCAUGGUAGACCUACUAGGGGCCACGCCUUUAAGGAAAUGGACUCUCCAUUUCCUUGAAGCUCUCAGCUGUUCUGCUACGGAUGGGGAUUUGUGCCCACCCCCACCCCAUGCUGCAGUUUUGUCUGACUGGAAGUUGUCCAGGUUUUGCGCCUGUCUUCACAAUUGCUGUGAGUUCCUAUGUGUCACUACCUCUAAACAAGCAAACAGAGCAACAUGGCUUCAGUGUAGACAUCCAUCACCGCUGGCUCUUAGGAUCUUUUGUCCCUUCUUUCACCAUGUUCUCUCACCCUUGACAGAAGUGGGCAUGUUAUAGACGUGUCAUUUCGGGAAGAGCAGUCUCUGUUCUCUGCCUGUUGCCAGAUGAGGGACUCCACGUUGAUUGCCAUCUGUUGAUGGGGACGUCUUCUAUAUAUAUGUUUCCCUUAUUGGUUGAUGAAUAAAAUACUGUGGUCAAUGA